ACAUCGGCAUCGCCUAUAAAAGGCUGCGGUGACGUAAGCGCCCGACAUUUAAAAUUUCAUCGUGGUGCGCAGUGGACGUGAAAGUGUUGUGACAAUCUUCAAGUGAAUUUGCCUGGGUUGGAUUCAGUCCCAUUGCGUUUCGCGUGGGUCUGCAUCCAUCCGAUGGCCGCCAUCUUGGCCGUCGCUGGGGCGCGGUCGCUGCUUACACAACAAUGGGUUUGUAACGGUAUCGUGCAUUUAUUUUAGUUCAGUUAAUUUUGUGAUCCAAAUGUAAAUACUUACUUAAAUAUUUCAAUUUCAAACUAUUUCUCGAUAGUAAAAUUGGAAUUUGGUUAUUAUUCAUAUUGAAUAAGAUAAAUUGUAACAUAUGUUUAAGUAUGAAAAAUAAAAAGAUUAUUUUCAAUGGAAAGUUGUAUUUCUCCUAUUUUGUUACUGUGAUUUCACCCGAAAUGUGUUAUUCCAUGAGUCAUCAUCGUCACUUCGCUUCGUGGAGAAAGUGGCGAGUGCGAACGAGAUCGAGCUCUCCAACUCGGCCGAGCAGCCUGCGGUCUGCCGCCGAGCCGUCGCCGCCGCGGCGUAAGGUUCCCUGCGUUCAGCCUACCACCGCUCCACUGUGCCAAACGGCGCGCGGUCAAAUACGUCCCGGUUAUCAGCCCACUAGGUAAACGUUAGGCCUCCGAAUUCCUCAUACGACUGGUGCAAUAUCUUGUAUUCCAUAACAAUGUCUGCCCGUGCCCGCAUGCGGGCCCCCUGCGUGUAACGUUGUGUUUAGACCCCAGAGCGUUGCGGUUACCGUGCAGCUGCAGACCCAGACGUGGCGGGUUGGCGCAAUCGCAUUGUUCAUCGUGCGCACGGCCUCUACGCGUCACGGUCACGUGAUGGCACUACCCGGAACACUGAACAGUAGAAUUAUCUUCCCGUAAGGAAGUACUUAUGUUGACAAUGACGGUGAGUCACUUGUUACUGAGAAUGGUCUAAUGUUGAAAUAUAAAAACAGACAUUUUGGUAUUUUAUUGAUGAUCGUAAUAAUGAACAUUUAGCGUGAGAGUGACAUUUCUCUUAAACAACUAAAAAUAAAGUAACGAUUUGGACAAGUCUUGCUAAGAAAUUAUUACCUAAAUAUUGAAUGAGUGAGUCAUCUCACUUAGGUCAUGUCUAUGAAAUAACUUUUCUCCAAACAGGGAAUAACAUAUUUAGGAACAUGCUAGAACGAUCGGGAGGCCUUCUCGAGGUGACAUGAGGAAGGUUUCGGAGACUGCCGCGAACAUGAAGUACCUAACCGUGACCUCGCAAAUCUUCGCGGCGCUUUCUAUAUUAGGUAAUCAGAGGUCACGAUAUUUGUGUGGAUGCAUGCAUAAACAUCUUAACUGCAGCUAUAUCUACACUUCGAGUGAGCAGUCUCCAAUUUAGUACAUGAAAAUUUCUCCCGCACUCUGCAAGCUGGAAAUAUAAAUUGAGGAAACGUGGCGUGGGCUGAUCAUUUCCGGGACCAUUCUGAACCAUAAUGCGCGACAUAGGCUCUACACACUGAUAAAACGAUUGCAUACAAAUUAAAAAUAGGAAUAUGAAGCAACGACUUAGUUAGAAUGCGGUAAGUUACUAUGAAAUCUCUGAACUUUUUCUAGGUUAAUCGUUGCAGUCGUUUCAUACAAAUUCAUUUGAGUUUUGAAGUUUAACCUAUAGUUAGAAAUUUAACAGCAGACUAAAUAAAUUUGUAUGAUACCUUAUCUGCGCUUUUAGCCUUUUUUUUGUUAAAUAUUUUGCAGCGUUUAUUGAGCGACACAAACCAUUUAGUUUACAAACCCUGUAUUAAGUUCUGGUUUGCGUAUGCCGCUAAUAAACGCUUAUUUUCUAGACCUGGCCCAGUAAUGUUCAUUGCUUAUUUAGCGCAUGCGAGUAUUCGCCUCGGGCUAACCAGUAUAAGUGUGACGUCUCUAUCCGUAUCAACGGAAUCAGAAAUCAGAUAAGCUUGUUCACUGAGACGAAUAUAGGCUGGCACAGAAGCUUUGAAAAUACAACCCUACCAAAGAGAAUUGAUUGUAAUAGAGAAGUAAAGUCUAUGAAAAAACGUUCCCCUUAGUUUGACAUCCAAGACAGAUGGCGCUGUACUGCGCCAUGUUUUGCGGUCACUGGAUUGACUUUAUCCAAUCGGUUACCGCAAAAUGUAUGGAGCUGUACAACAGCGCCAUCUCAUUUACCUGUCAAAUUCGAAGCACGAAAUUGUCUUUACACAUCUUAGUCAAUGUAUCUUUGCUCCUACUUUUCUGAUUUCCAAACAUUUUGUCACGUAAGAAUAUGAAUGCAUGAACUGAUUUCCGUACCUACUUCACAGCUAUACACCGGGAAUCGUGGCUGGUGGUCAAGGUUGUGCGUGACCGAGUCGACCAACCAAACUUAAACAAAGCGAGGUGAAGCCCUUCUCCGCGAAGGCUAACCCAGCCCCUAUAACAAGUGGACCGUCGACUUCCACAGAUAAGUCAAUGCCGGUCCUAAUCUCUCUAUCCCAAAUCACUGUUAGAUAAUAAACCUAUCAAAGGCUGAAGUGCGUCAACAAGUAAGACCGGAUAAGCUUCGGUAUUAUUCUAAAAUUGAUAUGACUACUUGACGCAAACUACUCUAAGAUCCUGUGUAGUUACAAACUAUGCUAUAUAUUAUAUUAUAUCUCAAUUUGAGGACCUAUAAAAUGCACUACAGUUUUAUCAUAUACACAUUAUAAUAAUGGAAAGUAAUAACUUAGUGCCGAUUUAAUUAAUGUAGCUAUGAAAAAGAGUGUAUUGAAACGUAUUUGAUGUUGAAAAAAAAAAAUAGGUAUAUAAGAAAUGUCUUGUGACCAUAUAUAAUAAAAUAAAAAAAAUACGGCAGCGAAAUAUGAAUCGAGACUUGGGAACUGGGCAUUGAACCAGUAAUCCCUUUACCAUUGUGUUUUUUUACAUCCGCAGGUAUGAGUCCGACCAGGUAAUAGGGAUCUUAUCAAAUAACUGCUCUAAACUGAGGAUGCAAAUGAAACUACUGUAUGUUGGAGAAUCGGGAUAUCUGGAGGAACCGUGGAAAUAAAAAUAUGAAAUACUUUUUUACCUCUACCUAUAUCCUUAUGGGAUUACUAUGACCUGAAAAGUGGUAACAUGCUAGUGCUCUUGGCGACACCCUAAUUUUUUGUGUUUCGAUGUCUUGUUUUGUUUUAGGCAGGCCACUAAUUUACCCACCCACUGACAACAAGUACGUGACAAAAUUACACUUGAAACCAAUGCUAAGAGGAAACUACCAAAGCAGACAAAUCUUGCAAGCUAAUUGUAUUUGAAAUAGUUUCGUUAGUUUUCAAUGGCGGUGAAAUAGUCGUGGAAUUGAAUCCCUGUUUUGUUUUUAUUCUGUUGAAAGGUAAUGGCAGCUACGUAAUGGAUGAGAUCCAACGCCCACUUAGUAAACUGACUACUGUUGAGCCUUCCUGUAUAUUGAAUGAAUAAGCCAGGGCCAAAACACCUUUCAAUUUGCCAGCACGAGGUCGAUAUGAGAUAAUGCAUUUUAUGAAAUUUGCAAAAUAAGGGUCAUGUCCCAAUUCUCAUUAGACAUGUUUUCGCUGAGGCUGUUCGACUUCGCAAUGAAUAAUUUUGGAGGAGCAAGUGUUAAUGGAUUCAAUUAUAUCCAGCCAUAAUUAUGAUUUAGUAUUCAACUGGAAAGUAGACUGAGGAAUGUCUAAAGAAUAUGAAUGUAAGUUGAGGUAUCGCCCCAUCUCUGAAUGUGCCGGAAAAAAUUGCAUGGACGAACGGUAUGACCUCUAUUUUACUAUACCUAUUUAUUAUUGUAACGCUAAUAAUUCGAGCACGUGAGGGCUGCAAUCUGCAAUAGUAUGUAUGUGUAAGAUAAUAUUUUGCUAUGUUCUUUCCCCGAAUUUGUUUAGCUUAGAUGCGCCCGUGGCAGGAUAUUCACACAGAAGAUUAUGAAUACUAUUCCUCAUUCCAUGCCGGAGAAAAUGGUCUUGACUAGCGGUUUUCUUCACUCAUCCCCCUGUUCACUAUGUUCACCUAUCACUCGCACCACUGCAAAAAUGCGGACUGUAUGAAUGAAUGACUGCUACAAAUAUUUUUACUGCACGACACACUUUCGAACUACGGGUGGUCGUCAGCCUGUACUAAGCCAUUCAGGUAAAAUAUUUUUAUUGACAGUUACAAAUAAAACUAGCAUCAACUAGCUUUGUUGUAGUUGUAGUUAAUUUUAUCUAAAAUAGAACAUUUCUUUCUGAUAAAGGGUCUUAAGCUUGCAGUAACAGUAGCUAUAGAACUUUAAAGUCAUGUUAUAAAACCUCAAAAACAAAAUACGAUAUGUAUUGCGAUAAAGUAGGUAGGAAUGUAAUCCUGGCGAGUGGCUAGGCCGUUAGGAAUUUACUUUUUAAAGCUCAACGGGUAUGCCUAGCUACUAGCUACUACUGCAAUUAUCCGCUGCUUGUACGAGAGAUUGCUGCAAUGAGACUUCGCUGCGGGUACGAGUGCUGCAAAUGAUGCUCCGCUGCUGACUGCUGCUAAAUCUUCGACGAUCCCAUUCCUGGCUACUGGCUUCGAACCAUGCUGCUCUAUACGUGGCGCUGUCCUAAAUCUAAGUAUAUUGAAGUAGUUCACUAGAGUAGUCUAUCCUGGUUCCUUUUCCCUGUAACCCUAUGAUAAACAUUAGUGCUGCUGUCAUGCGACAGCUUUUUAUUUUUAACCACUGCCUUGUCACAGAAUGUCUAAAAUUACUGCCGCUGCCAGUUUCUACAUUUGACUACUGCUGCCAUGUCACAGAGUCCACCAUCAAGAUUGCCGCUGCCGGACACGGCAUCUAAAGACUGGCUGUCUUGUCACAGAGACCACUGCUGCCCUGCACAGGUUCAGACUAUUGCUGCCUUGUCAGUCUCCUCGCUCAUCGAGACGACUGCUGCCUUGCACAGCGUCGCGUUUGACUACUACUACCGCUGCUGCCCCGCACAGCGCCUUUGACUGCUGCUGCCUUGCCACAGAGUCGCCUUUCAAAACCGCUGCUGCCUUGCACAGGGUUCAAAAGACUACUGCUGCCUUGUCACAGAGUCGCCUAUUAAGAUCGCUGCUGCCCCGCACAGCGUCUUUAAUUUACUAUUCUUGCCAAAUCUGCUGCCUUGCCACAGUCCUUUCAAGACCGCUGCUGCCCUGCACAGGGUCUAAAAGACUACUGCUGCCUUGUCACAGAGUCGCCCCUCAAGACCGCUGCUGCCCUGCACAGGGUCUAAAAAAAGACUACUGCUGCCUUGUCACAGAGUCGCCCCUCAAGACCCCUGCUGCCCUGCACAGGGUCUAAAAAAAGACUACUGCUGCCUUGUCACAGAGUCGUCACUCAAGACCGCUGCUGCCCUGCACUGUGUCUGAUAAGACUACUGCUGCCUUGUCACAAAGUCACCUUUCAAGACCGCUGCUGCCUUGCACAGCGUUUGACUACUGCUGUCUACCACCAUAGCCUUUUACCGCUGCUGCCACAGCACAGCCGGUUUGUUUUUUACUUGCUGUUUUGUCACAGAACUCGCUGCUUUGUCUACGUGUACUAUACUACGUGUGUAUAUGGACAGCUGAAUGUGCACCGUCCACUGCCGUGACCGCUGUUACCAUGUCCCGGUGAGACAUAUAACCUGUGUUAUAAUUAUUUAGUGGAAAACUAGUACCUUGCCAGAGUUUAUUAUGAUAACGACAAUAAAGUUCAAAUUACAUUUGAAUGCAGCGGAUAAACCACAGCACGUAUAGGUGUUAACGCUGCUACGUGCAGCAUUGUCCAUAGAUACUGUUCCUCUUGUCACCAACUAACCUGGAAGCCUGGUCGAAUCCUCGCGCCACCUGUGAAAAUUUUCCUCUACAAUGAAAUGAAACUCAAUGGACAACACUUCGUCAUCUGGCCAGCAACCGUGCAUCGGGCUACACCCUCCCAUAUUACAAUUAUGCCAAAUUCGAGGCAAGAUCUUGACUUCUUGGGCGCAAGUCCACCUGCUCCUGUGCAGACGUGCCAGUCCAAUCCCAUCUGUCUGCCAGUGCUGCCCGGUCCAGUCUGCGUGGUGCUGCCCGGCCCAGUAUGCCUCCAGUGAUCCCAGCCCAGGUCCAGUCUGCGCGCCAGUGGUGCCAGCCCGGUCUAGUCUGCGCGCUAGCGGUGCCAGCCCGGUCCAGUUUGCGCGCUAGUGGUGCCAGCCCGGUCCAGUCUGCGCGCCAGUGGUGCCAGCCCGUUUCAGUCUGCGCGCUAGCGGUGCCAGCUCGGUCAUGUCUGCGCGCCAGUGGUGCCAGCCCGGUCCAGUCUGCGCGCCAGUGGUGCCAGCCCGCUUCGGUCUGCGCGCUAGCGGUGCCAGCUCGGUCCAGUCUGCGCGCUAGCGGUGCCAGCUCGGUCCAGUCUGCGCGCUAGUGGUGCCAGCACGGUCCAGUCUGCGCGCCAGUGGUGCCAGCACGGUCCCGACUGCGCGCCAGUGGUGCCAGCCCGGUUCAGUCUGAGCGCCAGUGGUGCCAGCUCGGUCCCAUCUGCGCGCCAGCGGUGCAAACCCAGUCUAGUCUGGGAGCCAGUGGUGCCAGCCAGGUCCAGUCUGCGCGCCAGCGGUGCCAGCCCGGUCCCAUCUGCGCGCCAGUGAUACCAGCCUGGUCCAGUCUGCGCGCCACUGGUGCCAGGCCGGUUCAAACUGCGCGCCAGUAGUGUCAGCGCGGUCCAGUCUGCGUGCCAGCUCAUCCACUUGACAGCGGAAUAACACGAUAUCAACCCUAAUUGUCCACAAAAUCGUUGUGAAGUCUGCCUGCCGAAGACGUUCGAGCCUGAAUCAGACAAAAAAACAAUCUUGACAGACAAUCUAAGCAGUGAAAUCGUGCUAAGUGAACUCUGAUUUAGACGUACCAGCAUCAGCUGCCUGUCUAAAACUAAAUAAUAAUAAUAAUCAGUCUGCUCCGGUGUCCCCGUCAGUGUGUUGCCAAUCCGGUCCAAUCUGCGCGUCUGUGGUGCCAGCCCGGUCCCGUGUGUGCGCCAGUAGUGCCAGCCCGGUUUGAGCACCAGUGGUGCCAGCCCGGUCCCAUCUGCGGGCCAGUGGUGUCAGCCUGGUCCCAUCUGCGGGCCAGUGGUGUCAGCUGGUCCCAUCUGCGCGCCAGUGGUGUCAGCCCGGUCCCAUCUGCGCGCCGCGGUACCACCCCGGUCCCAUCUGCGCGCCAGUGGUGCAAGCUCGAUCUAGUCUGCGCGCCAGUGAUACCAGCCCGGUCCAGUCUGCGCGCCAGUGGUGCCAGGCCGGUCCAAACUGCGCUCCAGUGAUGCCAGUCCGGUCCAGUCUGCGCUCCAGUGAUGCCAGUCCGGUCCAGUCUGCGCGCCAGCUCACCCACUUGACAGCGGAAUGACACGAUAUCAAGCCUAAUUGUCCACAACAUCAUUGUGAAGUCUGCCUGCCGAAGAGGUUCGAGCCUGAAUCGGGCAAAAAUAUCAGUCUGUUCCGGUCUCCCCGUCAGCGUGUUGCCAAUCCGGUCCAGUCUGCGCGUCAGCUGUGCCAGCCCGUUCCAGCGUGCCAGCCUGGGCCAAUCUGCGCGCCAGCUCAUCUAGCCAUCAACAGUGUCAUGACCUCAAGCUUAAUAGCCAGCAAGAACGACGUGAAGCUUUCUGCAACGGAGCAAACACGAUCCUGUCUUCCCUUCUGAAGUGGUACAAGACCAGUCGUGCCGUGCUGAUACUGAGCGUUGGUUCAGAGGUUCGAGCCUGAAUUAGGCGAAGUCUACACCAACGUUGUGAAGUCUGCCCGCCGAAGGGGUUCGAGUCUAAAUCAGCCGAAGAUACCAGCCUGUUCCGGUCUGCCCGUCAACGUGGUGCGAACCCGGUCCAGUCUGGGCGGCAGUGGCGACAGUCCGGUCCAGUCUGCGCGCAGCUCAUCUUGCCGACUACGGAGUUUGUCAUCCUCAAUCGUAAAUAGCUUACAAGAACGGCGUGAAGUGCUUGCUGCAACGGAGCGAACACGAUCCUGUCUUCCCUUCUGAAGUGAUACGAGACCAGUCCAGCCCGCGCAACUACGGAUGAGGUUUCAGCCUGAAUUAGCGGAAGACACGAGUCUAAGAUGAACGAGCAACGUCCAGUGGGGCCAGCCUGUUCCAGUGUGCGUGCCAGUGGUGCCAGCCACGGCCAGUCUGCGCUCCAGAGGUGCCACCCCCGUCCAGUCUGCGCAACCAGUCAGCCCCCGCCUGCGCGGAGUAGCUCGGUCCAGUCUGCCCGCCUGCGCGGUGCUGCCCGGACCUGUGCCCAUGGUCGUCCAGUCCACCCACGCUCCAGAGGUGCAACCCCGGUCCAGUCUGCCCGCCUGCGUGGUGCUGCCCGGACCUGUGCUCAUAGUCCGGUCCACCCACGCUCCAGAGGUGCCACCCCGGUCCAGUCUACCCCCGCUUGCGCGGAGUAGCCCGGUCCAGUCUGCCCGCCUGCGCGGUGCUACCCGGAUCUGUGCCCGUAGUCCAGUCCACCCACGCGCUAGAGGUGCCACCCCGGUCCAGUCCACCCACCAUGUAGACAGCUACUACAGCCAGUGAGACCAGUUCAGAGUUAAACCAGCCUAGGGGUGCGUGUCUGAUUUUGCCCUCUUCGAUAAAGCAUAAUGUCUACCGCCAUAGCGGUUUAUGUCUUAUUGAACUUGUCAACAGAGCCAGGCAGCGCUAGGCAAGAAUCCACGGCUGGGGGUUCCGUUUGUUAUCGAAGAAAGACGUGUACCAAUCAGAAACCGCAAAUGUCACGCCUUCAUGGGCCGCGGAACUUGACGAGUCUCCCCUCCUGUUCAUCUGUAAUCCACUAUUUGUCAACAGUGUCUGACAUAGCCAACCAAGAAGUGCAAGCUGUUGGCCACCAGGAGGAAAGUCCAGUCGUAGACAUCGGAGAAAAAUAUAAACAGUUUCAGCAUUAGGCUCGUCGAGGCUAGGUAUGACCACCAUAAUCUCACUAUUGUCAACAGAACCAGGCGUGUUCCGCGAUUGAGCUUGAAUCCAGCCACCGCAUGUCAGUCUGAACAUCCGCCUUCACCUAACAGAAGUAAGCAUGACUUUGUCCCCAAGCCACCUUGAUUACAGAACUUGACUAGUCCGCCCGCUAAUGCGGUUCGUGAAUCCGUAAUCCACUUAUUGUUAACAGGAUGAAAAAGGCUGCGCAGUGAAUGAAUCCAGCCACAUUGUCAACUACACCUGACAUUCCGCCAAAAAGAUGCAAACUUGGAUAAAACUCGUCGCUCAGAAGUGAGCAUCUCUUCAGUUGCGGAGGCUUUUCUAGUCAUUGAGUAAGAAGCGGUAUCCAUAAUCCAAAUUGUUCACAGAACCAAACUUAUAUGCAAGUGCUCUGUGUGUCUGCCUAACCAAAUCCAACAAAAGUCAGCGCGCGAGGAAGGGGCCCAGUCAUCGUUAUUGUGAACCAGACGUAAGCAUGCGUGCAAUUAUAAUGCAGCGAUUGUUAGCAGAAUCGGAUAUGUAUCUUCGCAUCUCCGCGCUGCGUGAAACCGGUCAUCAUAGAUAGAACCAGACACCGACAUUCUUCAGAUAUCCUGCCCGUCCCCGUCCAGAACCCAUAGGAAUGGUGGGUGCUAAUCAUAAUUAAGCUAUAGUUUAUAGUGGCCACACGUAUCUGAGCUUGGAUCCUACCACCUUUAACCUGAACCUGACUUCGGGCGUGCUGCUAACACCAGUCUUGGAUAGGUGCCUAAAAAGUUGACCAGGUCUGCUGAUUCUGCUUGCCACGGAAACGAGCCAACAUGAAUACACCAAAAAGAAGUCAACUUUGUCGAGCCAGCAUAGUCUCUACGCGAGAACGGGUGCGUCAACAAUUAUCAUUGUUCGUAGUCAUCUAAACGAGACAAGAGCCCGCCAGCCUGGUCAGAGUCAACGUUAGCCAAUAACGAUGAGAAAUACAUAAAAGAGGUAUAAACCUGUUUUUGCCAUGAUCACUCUAUAAAGAACUGCUCACCGUAACGGAUACUCCCCGACUUAUGCCAUCUGUAUUAAAACUGCCAUAUCUACACGCUGGAGCGGCGGUGCGUGCCUAAUUCAGCUAUUGUUAACAGAGCCUGUGCGGUGUUUGGAACGCGCAUUUUAGAAAAUCCAGUUCGCGAUGAAGUUGCAUGUUUUGCCCAUCAUUAUCGAAAGCACCCGUGCCCUCCAUAGCGUCGUGAGCAAAAAAGCCCAAUAUUAGUGCCAACCGCUCGGUCGUCGCCACCAAAGCCCGUCGGCGCUGCCUGCCAGAGUGGUGCUCUCCUGCUUCAUCAUCCAAAGGUUCGAUAUAUUAUUCAUUUACGAUCAUAAUUUUCUUCGAUUUCCAUUUUCACGCCAAGCCUCCUCCAAAUUCGGCGCCCAUAUUUGACAGUUUCCUGUUAUCUUUUGUGAGUUUCUUCCUGUCAAUUUUGUCUAAGUAUAAGUUCAUCGAUCUGCGUGUUGCGGAGUCAUCACUCUUCAAAUUAGGUCUUCGGGUUUGUCGUUUCUUAGAUCUUCGUGUUCGUCGGUUUUCGAACUGCGUGUUCGUCGGUCUUCGUACUGCGUGUUCUUCGGUCUGCGAACUGCGUGUCAGUCUUCGAACUGCGUGUUCUGCGAACUGCGUGUUCGUCGGUCUUCGAACUGCGUGUUCGUCGGUCUUCGAACUGCGUGUUGGUCGGUCUGCGAACUGCGUGUUCGUCGGUCUGCGAACUGCGUGUUCGUCGGUCUUCGAACUGCGUGUUCGUCGGUCUUCGAACUGCGUGUUCGUCGGUCUUCGAACUGCGUGUUCGUCGGUCUGCGAACUGCGUGUUCGUCGGUCUUCGAACUGCGUGUUCGUCGGUCUUCGAACUGCGUGUUCGUCGGUCUUCGAACUGCGUGUUCGUCGGUCUUCGAACUGCGUGUUCGUCGGUCUUCGAACUGCGUGUUCGUCGGUCUUCGAAAUGCGUGUUCGUCGGUCUUCGAAAUGCGUGUUCGUCGGUCUUCGAAAUGCGUGUUCGUCGGUCUUCGAAAUGCGUGUUCGUCGGUCUUCGAAAUGCGUGUUCGUCGGUCUUCGAACAGCGUGUUCGUCGGUCUUCGAACAGCGUGUUCGUCGGUCUCUGAACAGUAAGUUCGUCGGGUUGCAAAACCUGCAAACUACGAGUUUCAACGUGUUUUAUUCUGCGUGUUCGUCGGUCUCCGAACAGCAAGUUCGUAAAUUUGCUAACUGCAAGUUCAACGUGUUUUUGUCAACGUGUUCGUCCGUCUCUGAAGAGCAAGUUCGUCAAGUUACAAACUGCGCGUUCAACGUGUUUUUGUCUGCGUGUUAGUCUGUCUCUGAACAGCAAGUUCGUCACGUUGUCAUCGGUCUUCGAACAGUAAGUUCGUAGUGUUGCAAAGUGCGAGGUCAACGUGUUUUUGUCUGCGUGUUCCUCGGUCUACGAGUUCAACGUGUUUUAGACUGUUCGUCGGUCUUCGUACUGCGGGUUCAUCUGUUUUCGAACUGCAUGUAUGUUGGUCUGCUGGUACACUAUUCGUCGGUCUUCUUAACUUCGGGUUCGACGUUCUUCGAAAUGCGAAUUCGACAACCUACAAGCACUUGUGAGUGUAUACCUUUUUAUAACUUUCAUCAUUUGUGACAUUAUCUAUGAAAAGGGACCUUAUUGUCGAUGGCGCUUACGCCGCACUGCGUAGCGCGGCGUUGUUUAUGUAUGUAAUAUGGGAGCAUCGUUGAUAAUGGCGUAAGCGCCACCGGCAAUAAGGUCCCUUUUCAUAGAUAAUGUCACAUUUAGCUACCGUCGAUCUCAAGCACCUCCUCGGCUACGUGGUCUAGCAGUUCGUCUUUCGAGAAAUAUGUAGCUCACAUUUUAGAUACUUAAUCGUCCGCGCCUCCCUCUUCGUGUCCUGCACUUCAGACGUCGCACCUUGCGGUCGCCAUUCUUCGUGCUUCGCAAUCACUUCAUGUUUCAUUCACCACGAUACUGGCUACUGACUACCCGCCCUACAAGCCUAUUGUACCUCUGUGCUUUUAAUUGUUCUUCAAUCGACACACAGCGCCCAUACGUAAGCCCUCCUUUUUUCACAGAUUAAGCAAUAUUCAACAAGGACCAAAAAAAAAUUGCUGACACUGGAACUUGGAACCCAUAGAAGCCCAUAGGUACAAGAACGCAACGAACCUUUGAGAAGAAAGAAAGAGAACACUUGCUUCAGUUACCGCAAGAGCGUCAAAGCGUAAGCCUGUUUUGCUCCGCAGAUGGUGUCUACGGUUACUGCAGAUCAGAAUUGUAUGAACUGAGUAACUGAAUAUACUAUUGUAUUUAACAAAAGAAACAACAACCAGAAAUUCAUGACUGGACGGCAUAUCUCCUAUAUCCAACAACCCAUCCAGGCAACACUUAUAUUUAUUAAUUAUAAUAGAUCUAAAUGUCCAAAAUAUACCUAUGCACAAGAAACGGUGUGUCUAAUGAUUUUGUUGCGGACAAUAAUAUCACGUGAGCAUUUUUUACAUCACUUUUUAACGCUUUAUCUGGAUUGGUUAUGCCUUAUUAUGUUUUUUCCAUAGUUUACGUAAAGAAUAUUGUUAUUGGUGUGUCACUAAUAUAGUAAUGUUAUUUUGAUAUUGGUUAUUGGUUUACCUUUUUAUGCAUUUACUUACAUGUUCGAAAUGUGUUUAAAUCUGUUUUAGCCGGGCCAUCUCAAUAGCACUGAAUCCACAAAUCUAAUGAAUUGCACAGAUUGAGUAAUCAAGAGCGAAAGUCUUGCUUUUUUUGGACUAGUUGUCUGUAAUUGUUAGUUUCUUUUAGAUAUUGGAUUACCUACUAACGUAAGAAGCUUACACGAGCAAAGACUGGAAUAUCAUCGCAUGGGAUGCUUAUUACGAAACUUUUUUGAUUCUUCACCUAAACCUAGAAAUUUACUACAACUCUUAUUAUCGGCAUGAAGUUGCACCUUCAUGUUGCAAGUGCCUAUUUAGAAGGUAUAGCAAAUUGUAUUACUUAUAACAAAUGUUAAUGUAGUAACCUGUAUUUUGAUCUUUAUUAGACGAGUAGACGUGUGGAAAAACUAUUGUAUGUUCGCAGGUGAAAUGUGCAUAAUAGGUAUUGGUACUUAUUAUUUUUACUCCUAAUCCAGUUAUUGAUACGUGCCAUGUAAUCGUCUACUUAGUUUUAAGGUGUUGUUCAAUGCUUGAUCCAAUAUAUUUUUAUCUGCUUCCACUCUUUGUUCGAUAUGUGUCUGUUUUUUUAGAUUUAGAUAGCGCAACAUAGACUAACGGCUGCUUGGCACGGCAUGGUUGUGGAAAACAAGCGUAGCAACAGCUUGCAAGUACCUAUAGGCGAAACCUGGAAUCCUGAAGAUGUUUUAGCUAUAAAUUGUACAGAGCGUAACCUGGAAUGCGUGCAAAACUAACAUAUGGGCGAAAAUUAUUGUUUACUGCAGCCGAGAAAUCUUUUGUGAAUGUGCUCUUUGUGCAUUGCUUUUUCUUUGAUCGUGUAUUUAAGUGUAUCUGUACAUCGUUUCGGUUGUGUUGACUUUGGUGAUUAACGGAGUGCACAACCAUAAAGUAGAUAUGUAACACGAAACUCGUAAACUACGAUCAAAGCUGGAAUUGUCUGCUUGAUAUACUAAAAUAUAAAAAUACAGAGAAGACAAACUAGGAAGAUGGUACGUACGCUAAUACAACCAUUUUAGAGUGACAGGAAGACGAGAGGACCUACAUACACACUUACAUUAAAUUGCUAAGUAUUAACGGCAUGGAAUGAAACUACCUUCGACGAUAACUUUAAUAGUGCACUUAGCCAUAACAGAAAGAUAGAUGCAACAAACACGGGGUAAAGAAAUUCAAUUUUUUUUAAAUGGAACUAAAAUGGAACUUGGAAUCUGGACUGGAAUACAUAACAAAAGAUAUCUCUUAAGGAAUGCCUGAAGAAUCUGACGCAAUUUGAAUUUGAAGAUGAGAAAUUUAAAUUACUUCUCAAAUACAUAAUAUCAACCAGUUACACUUGGUAUUUAACAUGACUCGAGGCUAGAUGAAACAUCGAUUUCCAACACCUAUCUCUACACCUGAAGACAGCGCUAAAGGUUUUAUUUAUAUACUAUUGAUUGAGGCAAGACAAUCAAAAUACGAUGUUUGAACUUUGAACGUGGCCAAUAAAGACAAUUAAUUACACACACACAUAGGGUACGUACGUUAAUUUUUUUUUUUUCAGGUGACAUUCGGAAUAGUCUUAAUUUCAGAUUGACUUAUAGUGCAAUAUUGGAUAUUUUAAAUUCAACACUCUGAAGGUAUGAAAUAAAAAAAUAAAUGUUGAACCGUAAUACCACUAGAACGACGUGGUCCAGGCGUGGAACAAGCAUAAAAAAGUUAGGUACAUGGCACAAAUAACGGGUGGAAAUUUGUAACUUAGAAAAACACGAAAGAUUGUCAGCAUCAACACGUGUGGUAUGUAAGCUAAUAAAGAUAAGUCGAACAACGAUUCUUCUAGGCUCUAGAGACUACUUCAAACUACCAGACCAUUGGGAAAUGGACUCUGAAAUAAUCAAGGUACUGAAUUAAAUGACACCAUAAAAAUUAGGAGUCUCCAAGUCCCUAGCGAAGUAAAUGGAAGAUGCGAGGUCCGUUCUUAUAAACGGGAUUAGGUAUGUAAAAUUCAUGAUUUUUAGAUAAAACACCGGUUCGCCUUACUCAAUGAUUUCAGACUACCAUGGAAUGCCAAAGGUAUGCAAUUUUAAAGAAACUGAUCACUAAAGUAAAUAAUACAACGUUCGAACGUCAAACUAGCCCACUGGACCGUGAUCCAAUUCAAGAUUUUUAAAAGGAACCCCUAUUACAUUCUCGAGACUACAAUAUCAAAUGGCUCAAGGUAUGAAAUUUUCAUGGAACUAAGUCUUAGAAACCUGAACCGAGGUUUCGAGUUAGUCUACGAAAUAAUAUUGUACUAUGACACAUAGGGUACGUAUCGUAUGCGUAUACUAAUUCAAGAUUUUAUAUGGAGCACGAGAUCGCGCACGGGUCAUUUUAGACAAAAUGCUAUGCUAAAAAGGUGCGCAAUUUUUUAAGAAGCAGACCGACAGAUCAAUUUAAGUUACACAAUAUAGUUUCAAGGUGCGUAAGACAAAAAUUAAAGAAGAAAUAUGUCCACACGAAGUGUAAGUAAGUACGAAUGAAUGUUAUUUUUUACAGACUCUAUUAACAGACAUGAAGAUGAAGUUAAGAAUGACAUAGUUCUAACAGAUAAUGAAUUUCUAGUCUACUUACUAAACUAUAAAUCGAUAAAGGGAUAUAAACAUCUAUUGGUAUAAAUAACAUACGUUACGUCGUCUAUCGACUCUACAAAUCGCUGAAAUGAACAUGUUAUUGGCAAAAUUCGGACUCGCGAAGGCAUGGGUAAGUUCCUUAAUAAAGCUUGUUUCAGAUCUCAAGGUUAUCAACAUAAGCAAGAUUAAACAUUGAAAUUAGAUAAAUAAGAAUAAAAUAAAUCAAACUUUUAGCAACAAAUUUGUAUGGUUCGUAACAAAUUAAAAUACAUUGACAUGAAUGUUUGACACGAAAAGAAAGAGGUUUCCCAUACAAUUAUCUACAAAUGCUGAAAGGUCCCGUAAAAGCAAGGAAAAUAAAAGACAUACUAAUAAAACGUAAACGUAAAAAAACCGUCAAGGAAUAAUUAGCGAAGUAUGAAAAUAACGAAAAGAAAAAAAACUUCAUCAUGGAGGUAGAAGACAAUGUAUGAAGAAGGAAGACCAGAAAAGAUGUGAAAUAAGGUUUUACAACUUAAGCAACUCUAUACUAAAAAUAGCAUGGACAUCGUAAAGAAAUAAGACUGAAGAGUCGUUUUAGGGUCGGCAACGCGCAUGUAACACCUCUGGAGUUGCAGGCGUCCAUAGGCUGCGGUGACUGCUUACCAUCAGGCGGGCCGUAUGCUUGUUUGCCACCGUCGUGGUAUAAAAAAAACAAGAAGAGGGCGUGGGGAGUGGGUGAAAAAAGAAGAUUGAAAAGGGCACGAGGAAAGAAGAUUGAAGAGGACAGGAAGAAAGAAGAUUGAAGGGGACACGAAGAAAGAAGAUUGAAGGGGACACGAAGAAAGAAGACUGAAGAGGGCACGAGAAAAGAAUAUUGAAGAGGACACGAGAAAAGAAUAUUGAAGAGGACACCAGAAAAGAAUAUUGAGAAUAUUGAAGAGGACACGAGAAAAGAAUAUUGAAGAGGACACGAGAAAAGAAUAUUGAAGAGGACACGAGAAAAGAAUAUUGAAGAGGACACGAGAAAAGAAUAUUGAAGAGGACACGAAGAAAGAAGACUGAAGUGGGCAUGAAGAAAGAAAACUGAAGAGGAUGUGAAGAACGAUGAUUUGAGAAGAACCCAGACCCAAAGACGCACGAAUCACUUACCAUCAGGUGUGAUCGUGGUCAAACGCCUGCCUAUACUCAAUAAAAGAAAGACGAGAUGACGGGAAGAACUUUAUGAUACCAUGAAGCAAAAGAGGGUGAGAGCCAGAUGAUAGGAAAAAGCUUAUGAGAAGAAGAUGAAGCAAGGGGGUAUGAAGGAAGAAGAUUCAGUUUAAAGAGGGCAAGAACGAAGACUCGAGACUGCAAGAAAGAGAAAGAGGGAAAGAAGACUCGAAAGGGAAAAAAGAAAGUAGACUCAAGACGGCAAGAAAGAAGAUGCAAGAUGGCAAGAAGACUCAAGAGGACAUGAAGAAGGCUCAAAAGGGCAUGAAGAAAGAAGACUCAAGAGGGCAUGAAGAAAGAAGACUCAAGAGGGCAUGAAGAAAGAAGACUCAAGAGGGCAUGAAGAAAGAAGACUCAAGAGGGCAUGAAGAAAGAAGACUCAAGAGGGCAAGGAAGAAGACUCGAGGGCAUGAAGAAGGAAGUCGCAUGAGGUCAUGAAGAAAGAAGACUCAAGGGGGCAUAAAGAAAGAAGACUCAAGAGUUCAAGAAGAAAGAAGACUUAAGUGGGGCAUGAAGAAAGAAGACUCAAGAGGGCAUGAAGACAGAAGUCUCAAGAGGGCAUGAAGACAGAAGUCUCAAGAAGGCAUGAAGAAAGAAGAUUCAAGAGAGCAUGAAGAAAGAAGACUCAAGAGGGCAUGAAGAAAGAAGACUCGAGCGAGCAUGAAGAAGGAAGAAUCAAGAGGCAUGAACAAAGAAGACUCAAGAGGGCAUGAACAAAGAAGACUCAAGAGGGCAUGAACAAAGAAGACUCAAGAUGGCAUGAACAAAGAAGACUCAAGAAGGCAUGAAGAAAGAAGACUCAAGAGGGCAUGAAGAAGAAGACUCAAGAGGGCAUGAAGAAAGAAGACUCAAGAGGGCAUGAAGAAAGAAGACUCAAGAGGGCAUGAAGAAAGAAGACUCAGGAGGUCAUGAAGAACGAAGACUCAGGAGGGCAUGAAGAACGAAGACUCAGGAGGGCAUGAAGAACGAAGGCUCGGAGGGCAUGAAGAACGAAGACUCAGGAGGGCAUGAAGAACGAAGACUCAGGAGGGCAUGAAGAACGAAGACUCAGGAGGGCAUGAAGAACGAAGACUCAGGAGGGCAUGAAGAACGAAGACUCAGGAGGGCAUGAAAAACGAAGACCCAGGAGGGCAUGAAGAACGAAGACUCAGGAGGGCAUGAAGAACGAAGGCUCGGAGGGCAUGAAGAACGAAGACCCAGGAGGGCAUGAAGAAAGAAGACUCGAGAGGGCAUGAAGAAAGAAGACUCGAGAGGGCAAGGAAGAAGACUCGAGGGCAUGAAGAAGGAAGACUCAAGAGGGCAAGAAAGAAGACUAAUGGGCAAGAUAGAAGACUCUAGAGGGCAGAAAGAAGAUACAAAAGAUCUAGAACUCAAGACUGAAAAAACGGAACUCUUCGUUCGAAGACUGGAAGAACGAAGACUCGAGACUGGAAGAACGAAGGCUCGAGACUGGAAGAACGAAGGCUCGAGACUGGAAGAACGAAGGCUCGAGACUGGAAGAACGAAGGCUCGAGACUGGAAGAACGAAGGGUCGAGACUGGAAGAACGAAGACUCGAGACUGGAAGAAUGAAGACUAGACUGGAAGAAUAAAAAAUUAAGACUGCAAGAACGACGACAAACACUAGAGAUUACAAUAACAAAGAGGGCAACAAGAGGGAAGACUGAAGAAAGAAUACUCGAAAGACCAUAAAGAAGAAGACGCAAGAAGUACAACGACACGGAGGCACAUUCAAGAGGGUAUGUGAAACGAAGAGUCGAGACUGCCAGAACGAAGAAUCAAGAGGUCACGAAAAACAAACUCUAAACAACAUGAAACAGGAGACUACAAAAAUUUUGAAUAUGCUGAACGAGUAUAGAAAAUAACGACAACUCGAAGAAAGAAAAAUCACAAGCAAGAAAGAACUCGAGGGACGAAAGAAAAAGAAAGUAGACAAGAAAGAAACUAAGUGAAGAUAGAAGGAUUACUAUUGGGUACAAGAUAAUAACAUCCAGAGUAUAAAGAAAGAAAUUAACAUAACUAAUACGCAGAGGAAAAGGGCAAGCAAACAGUCAUAUCGAAAGAGACCAAGUACCGAAACACAAUUGAAGAGGAUGUCGGAAGAAUACAAGGAAAGCUUUUAGGACGAGAAAGAAAGAAAAUUUGAGACUGAAGCGCUACGUGUAAGCAGUGGCUCCACCAAGGAGUACGAGAAAACUACUUCUACUAGUUCGUGAAUAACAAAUAACAAAAUUGAAGGGGAUGCCGAGAGAAAACAAAGAAGGCUUCCAGGACGAGAAAGAAAAGUUGACGAAGUCAAGCGCUAUGUGCAGCGCAGUGGCUCGGCCAAGGCUCACCAGUUCGUGAAUAACAAAUAACUAAAAAAAAAACAAAAUUGAAGGGCAUGGCGAGAGAAAACAAAGAAGGCUUCCAGGGCGAGAAAGAAAAGUCAGAAUCGGAACAGAAAAGGCAGAACAAAUACAAAUUCAAGCGCUAGGUGCAAUCAGUGGUUCCGCCAAGGAGUACGUGAAGACGACCCCUACCAGUUGAAAGACGAAGACUCGCAAGUGUUGUUGCAAACGAUUCAAUAAUUAAAAUUAUUUUAUCAGA